rnacentral:rRNA from 1 species
CCUACGGGAGGCAGCAGUGGGGAAUAUUGGUCAAUGGCCGAGAGGCUGAACCAGCCAAGCCGCGUGAGGGAAGAAUGUCCUAUGGAUUGUAAAUCUCUUUUGUCAGGGAGCAAAGUCACCCACGUGUGGGUGUUGGAGAGUACCUGAAGAAAAAGCAUCGGCUAACUCCGUGCCAGCAGCCGCGGUAAUAUGGAGGAUGCGAGCGGUACCCGGAUUUAUUGGGUUUAAAGGGUGCGUAGGCGGGUUAUCAAGUCAGCGGUAAUAUCGUGGAGCUCAACUCCAUCCAGCCGUUGAUACUGAUGAUCUUGAGUGGGCGAGAAGUGUGCGGAAUGCGAGGUGUAGCGGUGAAAUGCAUAGAUAUCACGAAGAACUCCGAUGGCGAAGGCAGCAUACCGGCGGCCGACUGACGCUGAGGCACGAAAGCGUGGGGAGCGAACAGGAUUAGAUACCCUAGUAGUC